GCUCCACCCCGCGCUGCUAGAGGGGGGAGCUGGGUCUCCAGCUCCUUACACCCGCCCAGCUCUGCGCUAGGGCUGCCCGUGCCCAGGGCCCGCCCUUGGAAGUAGCAGCCCGGGGUGCGCCUGGGGUUCAGGAUCAGCUGGCCUGGCUUUUAUACAUGGGAGGUGUAGCCCUCGGCUGCCAGAGAGCGGCCAGGCUGCAGUUAGACCAACUGUAAACUUCCCUGGGCCUUGGGCCUCCUCCCUAGAUCGCCCCUCUUGGACCCCCUCUUAGCGCAGUUGAGUCCUGGUGCUUGAUUGGGGCUCCUAGGAGAGCAGACCAGGAACUGAAUGCAAGGAUCUCCCAUGGUGAUGCAGAACACUAGCUAAUGGCUGGUCUACACUAGAAGUGCUCUACGCCAACCAGAGAGAGCUCUCCCACUGACACUGGUGCUUCGGUUGGUGUAACUUACAUCGUUCAGGGAGGUCGCUUAUUCACACCCCUGAGUGACAUAAGUUAUAACAACAUAGGUGGUAUUGUGUACAAGUCCUGAGGGAUCUUUCCAGAAAAUAAGAAACUAAGGCAGUGAUUGCAUCGAGGUCUCUUGUGUUAUGUACAAAAUGGACCUGGGAGAACACUAGCCACAGAUGACUCCCUCCACACUACUUCCCCUACCUCUGAUAAACUUUCCCAGUAUACCUCAAGAUACCAGCCAUAUACUCCAUGGCCAUACCACAGCAGUUAACCAUCUGAAACCAUGGAAAAGCUUAACAGAACUGCUUAAAAAAAAUCCAUGAUGGCUGCAUGACUGGAAAUGUGGCACAGGCAACUUGAAAUACUUCACAAGGAUGUCAAAAUACACAUUGCUGAAUGCCUUCCUGUGACGUUGUGCAGUCUAUAUGGUUUUAUAAAAAUAUGGUAAUGAGUGAAUAUAAUGUAACUGGAAUAUGCUUCAUGCAAAAGGCCUCUUGUAAGGUAUCAUUACAAAGCUUAUAAUCUACUGAGUGUGGUCAUCCUAUUUGUAUAAAUGUAACACUCUUGUAUCUGAAAUAAGAAAUAUGAAAUAUAACUGAGGGCCUAUUGUAAUUAUGCAAAGUGUGGGCCAUUAAUGGUGGUUUGGAAUCUUAAUGACUCCCAUUAACCAGAGCAAUUGACUGUGGAUGGCUCUGUUUGCAGGCAGGCCUUCCUGUGAGUCAGGCUGGAAGGAAUGAAGGCUUGAAGUCUUGCAGUGAUGUGAUCAUGUCACCUGAACUGGAAUCCAUCUUUAACCUGGUAUUUUUCCAUUGAGAAGGAGGGGGUGGGAAUCCAGAGAGGGACAAAAGGAUUCUCACCUUAUGCAAAAGAUAUAUAAGGGGAUGGAACAGAACAAAGAGAGGAGUGGAGUCAUAAGGAAGAAUCCCCUAGCUACCACCUGAGCUGGAAAAAGAGCUGUAGCAGGAUGAAGAAUUGUGCCCGGCCUAGAAGAUGUCCAGUGGGAGGAAAAACUUACUGAAGCAUUUCUGAGAGUGAGAUUAUCUGUAUUCAGUUUGAUUAGACAUGGAUGUGCACAUUUUAUUUUAUUUUGCUUGGUAGCUUCCUUUGUUCUGUCUGUUACUACUUGGAACCACUUAAAUCCUACUUUCUGUAUUUAAUAAAAUCACUUUACUUAUUAA